rnacentral:rRNA from 1 species
AUGAAAUUGACCUGCGUGGCCACCCCCGGCAGCGGUGGCGGCGGCGGCUACCACUCGCCGGCGAGCCACUUACUGGAGCUGGAGGGGGUCCGCCUCCUCCUCGACUGCCCCAUCGACCUCUCGGCCCUCACAGCAUUCGCCCCGGUGCCGCUCGGCGCGGACUGCGGUGACCUCAUCCGCGCGGUGCCCUACUACUGGUCGCCAGCGGCGUCCGCGGCCGGGAAAGCAGGUGGCGUGGAUGCCGUGCUCGUGUCGUCCGCCGCGGGGAUGCUCGGGCUCCCCUUCCUCACCCGGCUCCCAAGCUUCGCAAACGCCAAGGUGACUCCCAUCCCUGCUUGGUGCAUAGAUGGUACCGCAGUCUGCAGCCACCCGUUCUGA